rnacentral:rRNA from 1 species
GACGAACGCUGGCGGCGUGCCUAAUACAUGCAAGUAGAACGCUGAAGGAGGAGCUUGCUUCUCUGGAUGAGUUGCGAACGGGUGAGUAACGCGUAGGUAACCUGCCUGGUAGCGGGGGAUAACUAUUGGAAACGAUAGCUAAUACCGCAUAAGAGUAGAUGUUGCAUGACAUUUGCUUAAAAGGUGCACUUGCAUCACUACCAGAUGGACCUGCGUUGUAUUAGCUAGUUGGUGGGGUAACGGCUCACCAAGGCGACGAUACAUAGCCGACCUGAGAGGGUGGUCGGCCACACUGGGACUGAGACACGGCCCAGACUCCUACGGGAGGCAGCCGUAGGGGAUCUUCGGCAAUGGACGGAAGUCUGACCGAGCAACGCCGCGUGAGUGAAGGAGGUUUUCGGAUCGUAAAGCUCUGUUGUAAGAGAAGAACGAGUGUGAGAGUGGAAAGUUCACACUGUGACGGUAUCUUACCAGAAAGGGACGGCUAACUACGUG